AAGGGAAUAAACGCUGGCCACCCGAGCCCACGGAGGCAACCCACUUGGGUGCUACUCCACGCUGUGGAAGUUUUGUUCUUUCCCUCUUCGCAAUAAGUCUUGCUGCUGCUCAGUAUUUGGGUCUGCGCUACCUUUAUGAGCUGUAGCACUCCCCACGAAGGUCUGCAGCUUCACUCCUGAAGCCAGCAACACCACGAACCUACCGGGAGGAACAAACAACUCCAGAGGCACCACCAUUAAGAGCUGUUAACACUCACUGCGAAGGUCUCCGGCUUCACUCCUGAAGUCAGUGAGACCUCGAACCCACCCGAAGGAAGAAACUCCAGACAGAUCUGAACAUCUGAAGGAAUAAACUCCGGACACACCAUCUUUAAGAACUGUAACACUCACCGCGAGGGGCCGCAGCUGCGUUCUUGAAGUCAGCGAGACCAAGAGCCCACUGGAAGGAACCAAUUCCGGACACAGCCCUGGAGUGAUAGGGCAGCAGAAUAUCUACUCUGAACUAAGAGCAUAACAAAGGAGGUGGAAGAGGCGCCAGGAUAGCUCCCAUAUUUGGAGUGUUAUCAUUCAAGUACACACUGGCACCAGGGUCCCUGAGGCUUGCUCAUUGAGGUUGUCAACACUGCAAGAAGGAGUUUUUGUGGCAGAACAGACAUUGAUUGGAGAUGCUGGCAAGGCAGGGUGAAGCCAAGAGACCAGAAGAUGAUGGUCAUUGAAAAGAGAUUUUGUUACAGUUCAAGAGAAGCAAGCACAACAUGCCAUGCCUUCAUCUUCUGCUAUGAUUUUUGUGAAGAUACAGAGAGAAAACGUCUGUCUAUGUGGAAGGAGGUCCUCUCCAGCGCAUCAUCUGCCAGCUCCUUGACUUAGGACCCUCCAGCCUCUAGAACUGAGAAAUAAAUAUCUGUUGUGUA
ensembl:lncRNA novel transcript